rnacentral:lncRNA from 1 species
GAAUUUGGGACAACAAAGAUCAAGAAAAAGAAAGCAACAACUUGAGACCUUACCAACAGAAAAUCCACGUGAAGAAAAAAGGAAAGAAAAAUAAAAUUGUUGAAAAAAAAUAAAAGGCGAACGUGAAAAUAGAGGAGAGUUUUUUGGAAAAUCUUUUAGUUUUCAAAAAAUAAGAAAAUAAAAUAAUCCUCACAAAACCAAAUCCUGUCUAACCACAAACCCCACAACUUCUAGAGUUAAAAUUUGACC